UGGCUGAGUGGUAAAGCGCUUGACUUUCAAACAUGGGAUCCAGGGUUCGAUUCCUGG
rnacentral:tRNA from 1 species